rnacentral:rRNA from 1 species
GAUGAACGCUGGCGGCGUGCCUAAUACAUGCAAGUCGAGCGAAUGGAUUAAGAGCUUGCUCUUAUGAAGUUAGCGGCGGACGGGUGAGUAACACGUGGGUAACCUGCCCAUAAGACUGGGAUAACUCCGGGAAACCGGGGCUAAUACCGGAUAACAUUUUGAACCGCAUGGUUCGAAAUUGAAAGGCGGCUUCGGCUGUCACUUAUGGAUGGACCCGCGUCGCAUUAGCUAGUUGGUGAGGUAACGGCUCACCAAGGCAACGAUGCGUAGCAGACCUGGGAGGGUGAUCGGCCACACUGGGACUGAGACCCGGCCCAGACUCCUGCGGGAGGCAGCAGUAGAGAAUCUUCCGAAAUGGACGAAAGUCUGACGGAGCAACGCCGCGUGAGUGAUGAAGGCUUUCGGGUCGUAAAACUCUGUUGUUAGGGAAGAACAAGUGCUAGUGGAAUAAGCUGACACCUUGACGGUACCUAACCAGAAAGCCACGGCUAACUACGUGCCAGCCGCCGCGGUAA